AAUCUUGCACAAUGCGCGAAAGCGUGAUGCAGCAACGCCGCGUGCGGGAAGAAGGCCUUAGGGUUGUAAACCGCUUUCAGUUGGGACGAAGCUUCAGUCGUUAAUAGCGGUUUGGAGUGACGGUACCUUCAGAAGAAGCGCCGGCUAACUACGUGCCAGCAGCCGCGGUAAUACGUAGGGCGCGAGCGUUGUCCGGAAUCAUUGGGCGUAAAGCGCGUGUAGGCGGCUGAGUAAGUCUGCUGUGAAAGUCCAGGGCUCAACCCUGGAAUGUCGGCGGAUACUGCUCAGCUGGAGUACGGGAGGGGCGAGUGGAAUUCCUGGUGUAGCGGUGGAAUGCGCAGAUAUCAGGAGGAACACCUAUGGCGAAGGCAGCUCGCUGGAACGUUACUGACGCUGAGACGCGAAAGCGUGGGGAGCAAAC
rnacentral:rRNA from 1 species